CAGAAAUGUCUGCAGAGAUGAAUCUAUCAUCAUCCCAGUUCAUAAAAAAAGAAUAUAUUAGUUUCCCAUUUCUCUUAAACCUAAUACCCCAUCUAUUUCCAAAAAAAAAUUUGAAGCCAAAACAAAUGCAUUAUGAAGUAUUAAGAUACAUUUUUGAUCUUUUUUACAGAGAAAAGCAGGCAUUACACUGAGAAAACAGAACGUGGGCAUCUAGCAUCUCACAGCACAGAACUGCUGCAUGAGGGGUGCCUGAAGAUGCCUACUAUGUGCUAAUCCACAGAAUACAGCAGCGAAUGAAACUUAAAUAGGAACUAGACCACCCCUGAAAACAAAACAAUUGAAAACUUAGAGCAAGGUAAGCAUUAAUAAGGGAAGUAAUUACUACACUGGUAUUCAAAACCAUAGAAUAAGAUGAGCCUAUUGUUAUAAACCUAUUCCAACAGUUCCAUGAAAAUCAUUCGAUUUUAUUUUGUUUCCUUUCUGUGAAAUCAGUGCAAUUUUACCUAGAGAAUGUAAUAGAAUUAAAACUCUACCUCAUACUGAGAGAGAUACAUCCCUAAGGGAAAAGUCUCACAUUGAAGAUAUUGGGAAUUAAUGUGCUUUUCCUCCUUUUGCUUUUAGAAAUGUUUUAGUUAUUUACUUUUAUAAACCACACAAUAUACUUAAAUAUCCUAUAAACUUUAAAAACAGCAUUCAUUACUUUUCUCUGGGUCCUAUUUGAUUAGAAACCAUUCUCUCUCCUAAAUAACAUCUAGGUU